ACAAGCGGUGGAUGAUGUGGAUUAAUUCGAUGCAACGCGAAAACCUUACCUACCCUUGACAUGCCAGGAACUUGCCAGAGAUGGCUUGGUGCCCGAAAGGGAGCCUGGACACAGGUGCUGCAUGGCUGUCGUCAGCUCGUGUCGUGAGAUGUUGGGUUAAGUCCCGCAACGAGCGCAACCCUUGUCAUUAGUUGCCAUCAUUCAGUUGGGCACUCUAAUGAGACUGCCGGUGACAAACCGGAGGAAGGUGGGGAUGACGUCAAGUCCUCAUGGCCCUUAUGGGUAGGGCUUCACACGUCAUACAAUGGUCGGUACAGAGGGUUGCCAACCCGCGAGGGGGAGCUAAUCCCACAAAGCCGAUCGUAGUCCGGAUCGCAGUCUGCAACUCGACUGCGUGAAGUCGGAAUCGCUAGUAAUCGUGGAUCAGCAUGUCACGGUGAAUACGUUCCCGGGUCUU
rnacentral:rRNA from 1 species